GACACAAUUAUCAAACACGAAACGAGGACAAAUAAAUGCUUUGUUUCCCCACAGAAGUUACCACUCAAAAGCCCCUAUUGGCUUGCAGUCCUGCCUUAACGCACAGCGGAGUGUCACAUUCGCCAUGCAGUAGUGCGGAGAUAUUGGGGACAGCCUGCCCUGCGCAGCGGAUGAAAGAGAUGAAAAGCUUUCGCUGGGAUGUGCAUAAUCCCGUCCUCACGACAGUCGUCAGACCACCCCGUAGAUUAUAACUCGGCCGAGGAUCACUUUCUAGGCUAUUUCAAUUAAAUGGAGGUGACACCCACAGUUCUUCAGCCGCACUCUUUCUGACAAUUUCAAAAGCACCCAUAACAACACGCAGCAGUAGCAGCUGGUGAGAAUAACCUUAAAAUGCCGCUUCUUUUUCGCUCGGUUCGUGAGCCUAUUGCACGGUGGACGCACUAGGAGGAGACUUGAAGCUGACAAGCAACAAGCACAUGGUGCGUUAUUAUGAUCAAUGAAUCAAAAGAAAAAAGGCCCUGAAACACUGUCUCACCAGACCUGGACCCAGCCAGUGGCAGGCAAGCCAUGCAGCCCUGAGUUUGGGGCUCAGACUGUGGCUGGAAGAGGGAGUGAGCCUGGAGCUGAGAUUGAGGCUGAGACUCAGGCUGGAGCUGGGGCUGAGGCCCAGCUGUGACGGGAACAAUCUGAGGGAAAUCAGUCUUGCAAGAACCACCAAACAGGAGCUUAUGGCUUUCUCCUCUCCUUGACAGAGAUGUGGAUCAAAACAGGAAGAGCUGCCGAAUUUCGCAUCCCGACCGGACUUGCUUUGAAAAAUUGGCAGUAAGACUGGUUUUGAAUUCAGCCACAGGCACAAACAAUUUGGUCAACAAGUGAAAUCACGGACAGACAGACUGGCGAUCUCGGCAGCAUUAAGGCUACCUGACAUGCUGCUGAAACCACAAUGGAAGGAGGAGGCGAUAUGCCAGUGUUUCCCCCACUUCACUGCGUGUUACAGAGCAGACCAGUGUCAGAGUCACCUACCAUUCACCGAAAGUGAAGCUGAUUUCUGGAGGGGUGGCAGAGGGCUGAACCAAGUGUGGUAUAAGUAAGAGGGUGCUUUUGUUUUGUUUGAGGAGUAUAGACUUUUAAAGUGCUCCAAUUAUGAAAAUUAUGAUUAUCAUUCUGUACAUGAAUAACACACUGCAAUGCAUCCGAUGAAAUCUCCUGUAUUUUUUCAUAUUGUAAUAUUUACUGCAGAAAAAACACAAUAUCGUAAUUUUGCAGCACUAGUAAAGAUUCUUUUGUAAUGUUUAUGUUUUCCAAUUUAUUGUAUGUGAACAGAAAUGCUAUGUGGUAGUGGCAGUGGUUCCCAGUCUUCUUGGCUUGUGGCUCUUUAAAACAAAGCCAUUUCUACACACAAUCCCAUGUCACAGGUUGCAAAUAACUUGUACAUUUUGUGUGAAUUGCAAGCAGUUCUACCAAAGAGGGUUUUUCACAUAUUGUUCACAAUACAAAAGUAAAGAUCUGAUUUCUAAUCAUUGCUUCAUGUCUUUUGAUAACCAAUGCUGUAGCAUGACAACAGCCUCAUUUGCCAACCAUCUUUCAGCACUGAUUGUACCCAGACUGAUAUAUGUUUUGGGUUUAUUGAAACAAUAUUUAAAGCUGGGGUAUGCGAUUCUGGAGAAAUCCAAUACCAUGAUAUAUAGUGUGAACAAUGACACAGCAAGUAAUGUAACUAACAUUAGCAAGCUGUUGCAAGUUGCUGCUGUGCAGAUGUGGACAGAACGGUUUCCCAGAGCCGGCACACCAGCUCCACACGGUUAUUUAAAGACAAGUCUCCUGCUACUACAGCUAGCAUCACAAUAACAGCAUGUUUUGGAAAACUAGAACGUAAGCCGAAUGUCCAUGAGCAAGUAAUGUAACAUUACGUGACACAAAAAUCCCAGAAUAGCUUGAAUAACAAGUUAAUGUUGUGUGGCUCGGUCCACUCUGUUUGUGUUGUUUGUUUCCCAUUUACAAAGCCAGGGCUGUCACCAGCUUUUACUUUUAGCACACACACACACAGUGAAAAGCUAGCAAACCAUGAGGACUUAUUUUCUGAAUUUGAAAAAUAAGUGUAUCGGAUUAGAAUCACAUUACCUAGAAUCGCACACUCCACCUUUAAUGAACAGAAUGUUGCAUUUUAAUAGCUUAUCCUUUAAUGUCACAGUACCCUUCAAGUUAUUUACAGGUCACAUUUGAAUAUGGAAAUAUCUUGUCUAUACAAUUUGCUAGUGGGUAAUGCACCUUCUGGGAUCAUUUGAAUUUCGAGCCGUUAACCAAUGACCCAGUCGUCACAUUGUGUUCUGAACACACAGUCCAGUCACACUGGUGAGGUGUCCCAGAGGAGAGUGGCAUGUGUAUUUGUGUUUCUGUGAAUCAUAAACGCUGUUUUGUAUUCAUUGAGGUGUGUCAAAGCGGAUUACCUGCAUGAAUGGGGACCUGAAACGACUUUGUUUUCAAAGACUGUCCUUUGGGGUGAGGUAGUAGGUUGUAUAGUUUUAGGGUCAUACCCUUCCUGUCAGAUAACUAUACAACUUACUGUCUUUCCUGAAGUGGCUGUAAUGUCAUCAGAUGUCAUUGUUGAAGCUUUUGGAUCUGGAUCAACAUUGGAAUGUGCAUGUUUACCCGCUAAGAUAACAUAACUCAUUUGCAGCAUUUGAUCGAGGUAGGUCUUUGUAGUUGCUUUGGGUAGUUUUCCAUCUCAUGAUUUUCAUGAUUGCAUUAAGACUUUGUGGUCAAUAAAACUUAUUCUUAAAUAUUAUACAAUAUAUUGUCUUCAUAUCUCAUCAGACACUGUAUAUUGUGUAACCUUUUACACAAACCUGCUCUCAUCUAAUUGUCUUUCCUUAGCUCUUAUUUCUGUUUUUUUUUUUUUUUGUAUAUGAUCAUAACAAUAGUUUAGGGGUUCCAUGGCUCUUCUCCUCAAACCGAUUACUUCUGACUGCUUGUAAUGUUAGUGUUUUUGAAAUUAAAUCGACUUAUAUGAUAUGAAGUGUGUUCUUCUUCAAAAUCUGAAAAUGUUUGAGGAUGCAUUUAUUUACUAUAAGAAAAUGGACAGUGUUUAUACAUCACUAUUGAUAUAUAUAUAUAUAUAUAUAUAUAUAUAUAUAUAUAAAUUGAUCUCCAGUACAUGUUACACCAAAGCUUGCCAACAUGUAGGACCUUUCUGAUGUUCGAACGGGGUGAGGUAGUAGGUUGUGUGGUUUCAGGGUAGUGAUUUUGCCCAAUCAGGAGAUAACUAUACAACCUACUGCCUUCCCUGGAGGGCAGCAAUACAUCACCAUAGAAACAACAGGGACCAUCCUGCUCACAGAAAAACUUCCAGUAUCAACAAACCAAACCAGGUCAACUAUCUGGCCCUGAGCCACCCGUCCGCUUCUUACCUGGAACGUGGGCGUCCACAGUUAAUCGUGGCAGCAGAGAGGACCAGCAGGUAAAGUCUGUUCAGUAUGGGAUUUGUCUUGGAUUUGGUUUUUUUCUGCUUCAAACAUUAAUAAAAAAAUAAGAUGAUGAA